rnacentral:rRNA from 1 species
GAUGAACGCUGGCGGCGUGCCUAAUACAUGCAAGUCGAGCGAACGGACGAGAAGCUUGCUUCUCUGAUGUUAGCGGCGGACGGGUGAGUAACACGUGGAUAACCUACCUAUAAGACUGGGAUAACUUCGGGAAACCGGAGCUAAUACCGCAUAAUAUUUUGAACCGCAUGGUUCAAAAGUAAAAGACGGUCUUGCUGUCACUUAUAGAUGGAUCCGCGCUGCAUUAGCUAGUUGGUAAGGUAACGGCUUACCAAGGCAACGAUGCAUAGCCGACCUGAGAGGGGGAUCGGCCACACUGGAACUGAGACACGGUCCAGACUCCUACGGGAGGCAGCAGUAGGGAAUCUUCCGCAAUGGGCGAAAGCCUGACGGAGCAACGGCGCGUGAGUGAUGAAGGUCUUCGGAUCGUAAAACUCUGUUAUUAGGGAAGAACAUAUGUGUAAGUAACUGUGCACAUCUUGACGGUACCUAAUCAGAAAGCCACGGCUAACUACGUG